CUCUGCAGGAAAGUGGAUCUCGUGGGCCAGAUCUGAGGAUCCCUGUUGUACAUGUUGUAUUCGUACUAAAACGAUGAUUACUCUAGUUUAUUUUUGUUAUGUGCAACUGUAAAGUUAACAUAUCUUUACAAGCUAAAGUUCACUGACCAAGUAAAAUAACUUACAGCUUAGUUUAUUUUCCACACGAUACAGCACUAGUUAAAGUUUCUUCAAACAUACAAAAAGUAGCAUACGACGGUACCACAAGGUACUGAAGGACUGCAAUAUUAAUGUACUAAUGUAUUGACAAGGAAAAACGUGAUCUGAAUGAAGAGAUUCUUUCUGGCUGACAAACAUAUGUAUUUGUAGGGCUCGUGUGCCAGUAAAAACAGUUAAGCGAUGCUAAUGGUAACGCCCAAGAUCGUUCUAAUGGACUACAAAUACCAGCAGCAUGAGGAGCGCAGAACUACAAGAGUCCACAUUCGGGUUAGAGCGCAGAAAAUUACAAAGUAUAAUUUGUCUGAUAACCUACACGCGUGAAUAACUCUAUUGAUAGCAGUUGAUUCUGCGAACUAGAAUAUACAAUCUGUUUUUUAUUACAAUAUUAGUGCAGCACAUAUGUAACCGGAAGAAGUUUCACUCGGUGCAUAAUGACGCAGCGGAAAGGCAGUGUUCUUCCUUUCCUCCAUUAGGUGAGUGCGUGGUGAGAGCGCGCUUCGUCGCUCUCCUCAGAUUUGUCGAAAAAUACUUAAUUCACUCACUUAUGAAUACAAAUUUUCUUCUUUAAAGUCAUUGUUAUUGUGUACAUUACAGAUUGCAACCAUGGGCCGCCGUCCAGCCCGUUGGUAAGUUGUGAAUUUGGUGUUUUAAAAACUGGCCGUAGUGAAAAUGGCAGGGCCCGCUAACCAUGUGCCGCACACCGGCCUCCUUCAGCAGCGACAGUACCGUACCCGCGCUGGUUCUACUGAAGAAAAACUUAUCUUCUAAUAAAGUGCAUUAUAAAAUU